AUACCAUGGUGCGGGCAUAUAACCAACAUUCCUUCAAAACGCUCCCAUGUCUCAUGCAGUGUCUCCAUUGGUUUCUGUUUAAAGCUCAAGAUUUCAUCAAUCUGUUG
rfam:Nicotiana attenuata strain TT scaffold04240, whole genome shotgun sequence.